AUUUGGCAUAGAGCUCCUUUGAUACCAACUGUUGAACAGAUCACUGCUUUAUACUGUCGCAUCAGAUCAAGAUAUUUCAACGCUGCUACCAGAGGGAUGGAGAAGACUCCAAACUGCUACACCCUUGCUUCACUGGUCGCUUUAGUCGUCCUCGUCUUACUUCCUGCGAGGUCUGGAUGUGAGGAAGACACCUACAAAUCACUGACAGAGGCUAAGCUGGAGUGCUGCGCUCGAGGAGCUGCUCCGUUGAAGAGAUUUAAAGACAUCGACUAUGACAGCUUUGUGGGUCUGCUGGGAAAGAGAAGUGCUGCUCAACCAAACAGACACAUGGACCACGUCCUCGCAGAUCUGUUGUGGCGGAGAACAGAGAUGGCUUGUCCAUGUGACAGGGCGUAUGUACAGACGAGCAGAGGCUAAUUCAUCAAUAACGGAAAGCAUUGGUUUCAACGCUCUCUGUAGUGAUGUCACGCUUCCUCCGCCUCAACACUUGCUGUAAAACCCUCCAUCUCUCACAGCGCUGAAAACCCCUCACAGCUAUUGUAACAAGAGAGGACGAUGUAUCAAUGUUAUUUAACCAGAGAGGUGAAACAGUCAUAUGCAUGAACGCUUUUCUACUGUCGCUGGAAAAUGUUCUGACAUCACAUAACAUUAUGUAAACAAGUGCAACACAAAUGUACAAUAAAAUAUGCAUUUAUUUAUAGUGAUUAAAGUACCAUUCACUGAAAACGAUCCUGCACACUGAUCACGUGUGCUCACACACUCACACAAAACUCAUUUACACACCGAAGCGCAUCGACUCAAUUUAGACGUCAAUACCAACAUAAAUACAUUUCAAAUAUAAAUACAGUACUGUACACCUUUCCCUUGGAUAGAAUUUGAAUGUUUUGAGUAGAUUGUCGAGGACUGGAUGUGUGAAUCACUGGCAUCAGACGCCAGAUGUGGUGGAUAUCAACAAGUCGUUUGAGGCCCGCAGGUCUGACAGUUGGAGUCUGCACUGAAGUCCUUUGCUACCAAAAAGUUUUACAGAUGGUUAAUUCACUUGAACAAAGUCAAACAAGUGUCAAAGGAAGCCGUUAUAUAAAACAUGCUGAUUUGGUUUAAACCGGACCUUUAUAUUUCAACAGGAAAAAAAAAAACUGAACAUGCUCUAUGCUCAUGUACAGAAGGAAACUGAGUGUAAACAUGUACAAAAGGCAUUUUGACAGGCAUUAAUUACCUCAUUCAUUUUUAACCUUUGAGGAGAGUAAGAGGUUUAAGUGGUUAAAAAGAAAAACAGUAAUUACAACACUCAAGUGCAUUAAAUUUUCACAUAAAAUGACAAAUCUGUUCUGUUUGAAUCAUCACUGAAUCCUGCCCGAUUCCUGAAGCCGGUUUCUGUAUUUGGUAAUUAUCUCCCGUUAGAGUGAAUCUUUGUUUGGUUACAAAGUAGUAAAGGAAUUGUUAUGAAUACUUAAAUACACACAAUGUACUCACUACAAAUCAAAAGGUCUGGCCCAUCCAAAAUUUAAACAUUACACAACAUUGUAGAAACUAAAAUCGUAUAAAAGGAAAAUUCUCGCUUAUCCAGAAAGCUCUGUCAUGAACAAGUAGUCCGCAGGCUCACCUGAAGGCCAUACUCGUUACAUUGGAAGGAUUCAAUACAAUUAUUCUCCAUCUGAAAGCAUCACUCUCAUCAUGGUAAUGUCACAGUGCAAAGUCAUGUGUGCAGCUGAUGGCUCAUACAAUCUCUAAUUUACAAGGCACAAGCUGACGAGUCCACUAGGGCGAGAUGAGGGGAACCGUGAAGUGUGUGUGUGUCCAGUGCCAGCUUUGGGAAGCACGGGUAAAUAAGGGUGCAAUGGUUUGGAGAGGAUGGUGUUGAAUUUCAAAGAAGGAAAGAUAUCUGACACACUCCUUCCUCGCCCCGCUGAAGGUGUGUCUACGCACGAAAUCCAGAUCAAAUUAACACAAGGCUGGAGAACAGGCAAACAUCCUGAAAGUGUGCGGUUAACUGAACAUAAACCAGUGAUAAAAACAAAUAAGAACCACUCAGAUUACCAAUAUUCUCACCACAUAACUAUUGACUGGUCUGUCUGCAGUCUGGUAUUAUCCCUCAUAGGAAUCUUUGGCUUGACUAUAUAAAUUUAGACAUUUGGACUUUUCAUUUAAAGCAAUAUGGUGACAUCAGUGUCUAUGAGCCAUAGAGAAAUAUGAAUGACCCAAACAAUGCUUUCCUAUUGAAAUUAACUUUAUAUCUGUAUUUUGUGUGUAGGGGGGAUUUUAAGGUCUGGUGUGUAGGCUUUAGAGGCAUCUAGCUCUGAGGUUGCAGAACUGAAACUCUAGCUGCAGUGGCUGACACGAAAACACAAAUGGCCCUAUCUAGAGCCAGUGUUUGGUUUGUCUGUUUUGGGCUACUGUAGAACAACAUGGCGGACUCUGUAGAAGAGGACCCGCUCUUUAUGUAGAUAUAAACAGCUCACUCUAAAGUAACAAAAACAAUUCUUAUUUUUAGGUGAUUAUAAACUAAUGAAAACAUUCUUAUGAAUAUUAGAUUUUAUUCCUGCCAAUAGAUGCUCCUAAAUCCUACACGCUGGCCCUUUAAGAAGUAGUGUCGGGGAGGGUAUACGAAUGCUGAAUUUGCCAUUUUCUAUUCCACUAACACUUGAUUGAGGCUGCAAGAUCACAGCUGAACUUCAGGAGAGGAUUGGCUGCUUCUCUCAAUCUUAGAAAUAAAAAAUUCAGGGUUUCCCACAGUAUUUAUCGCAACAUACUGAUUUUGUAUUUCUGGAGCAGGACCAUUCCUCGGAGCGCUCUACAAAUAUAAAUAUAUAUAUAUACACUGUUCAAUUAUUCAGAGCACCACACUCAUGGAGAACAGAGCGUACUCUGGGCCCGGUGAAUGUGAAACUCUACCAUUCAUUAAUUCAUACAGAAGCAAAACACUAUUUCUUGGAACAGCAGCGCUCUCACUUGAGCGCUAUCGUUUUUCCAAACUACUUUGGUUGAAACCGGCUGCGUUCCCAUGGAAACUGCGCACUAUGCUUUUACUCGCCUCUGCAGCAGCUGCCCGUCUAAUACAUCGAUCUGAGCACAAACUGAUCAACUGAUCAAUUUGCCACCACGCGACCCAAACUCAACAUACUGCUGCUGAGGAAAAACAAAAAGCCUCAUGAAGAGUUCACUCUGUGUUGUAUUCAGAGACCCGCAGAAACCUCAGAGAGAAUUCAGAGAGGGGACAUACUGUAGACUGAUCACAAAGGGACACACAAGCACCACACAAACAGAAAAUUUGCUGACCCACUGAAAAACGAUUCUAAUUCUGUGGGAAGCACUAGAACUGAUUAUUUUUGUGUUUUUGACUGCUGUUUGAAGACUGUUUUAUGGGCCAAAUAAUUAGUCAAGAAAUUAAUCUCCUUAUUAAUCAGUAAUAAAAAAAUAAUAUUAAGCUAGUUGAAGCCCUAGUCCUAUAAACAAAACUUGUAAUAAAACUUUUAAAAUUAUUAUUUAAGACAAAUCUUUUUUGUGAAGUCAGUCUUCUCAGAGCUACCGCAGCAUACAACCUAACAAAGAGGAUUCAUUCCUACACAACACAUGGACAUAACUUGCCUGUAUUGUGAAAAUGCUUUUGAAUGCAGCCCGAAACAAGUUUGAGAACAGCAAACUGACAUGCAAACCACAGUAUGCGCAAAAGAAAAUACUUGAGCGUUUGACUGAAUGUAAAAGGUGAGGCACUUUUUUAAAUUUCUUUCUCUGACAGCCGUUUGACCGGGUCAGGACAUACAACUGGUUCUCAUUGGCUUCCAAGGCAUUUAGUUAUCUGUGAGAAAUGAAGUCAAACAGCUUCAGCAAGCCAAGAGCGUGGUAGAUCGAGUUGUUUUGGUGGGUUUUACUUCAGUCAAGAAAAGAAUAAAACAUCUAAAAAAUCUAAUUUAACUGGUUCUGGAAAAUACUUGGUUCUUAUACCCGACUCAUAUGAAUUAAAAAGGUGCUUUAGUUCAUUUACAAAUGAAUGCAGCUCACAGAAAGCCAUUUAACUUCUAAAGAGGACAGUCAGCUGUUUAAAAAAAAAACCCUAACAAACUCAAAAAACCAGGGUAGAAGUCAUAAAUCACCUGCUGCCUUAAGACCAGUCUUGCAGUCACAAUUCACAUUAGUAGGAGUCCUUCAGCUACGCACUUACAUGUGGGGACAUUUCAAAUCAAAGUGGACUGUAUUUCUACUUUUGUAGAAAUAUGAGCAAAGACUAUCAAUGAAUAA